rnacentral:rRNA from 1 species
GGGGAAUAUUGGACAAUGGGCGAAAGCCUGAUCCAGCCAUGCCGCGUGUGUGAAGAAGAUCUUCGGAUUGUAAAGCACUUUAAGUUGGGAGGAAGGGUUUCUGGCUAAUAUCCAGGAAUUUUGACGUUACCGCCAGAAUAGGCACCGGCUAACUUCGUGCCAGCAGCCGCGGUAAUACGAAGGGUGCAAGCGUUAAUCGGAAUUACUGGGCGUAAAGGGUGCGUAGGCGGUUUAUCAAGUCAGGGGUGAAAGGCUACGGCUCAACCGUAGUGAGCCUCUGAAACUGGUGAACUUGAGUGUAGGAGAGGAAAGUGGAAUUCCCAGUGUAGCGGUGAAAUGCGUAGAUAUUGGGAGGAACACCAGUGGCGAAGGCGACUUUCUGGACUACAACUGACGCUGAGGCACGAAAGCGUGGGGAGCAAACA